CCUACGGGAGGCAGCAGUGGGGAAUAUUGCACAAUGGGGGAAACCCUGAUGCAGCGACGCCGCGUGAGUGAAGAAGUAUUUCGGUACGUAAAGCUCUAUCAGCAGGGAAGAAAAUGACGGUACCUGACUAAGAAGCCCCGGCUAACUACGUGCCAGCAGCCGCGGUAAUACGUAGGGGGCAAGCGUUAUCCGGAUUUACUGGGUGUAAAGGGAGCGUAGACGGCAGCGCAAGUCUGGAGUGAAAUCCCAUGGCUUAACCAUGGAACUGCUUUGGAGACUGUGCAGCUAGAGUGCAGGAGAGGUAAGCGGAAUUCCUAGUGUAGCGGUGAAAUGCGUAGAUAUUAGGAGGAACACCAGUGGCGAAGGCGGCUUACUGGACUGUAACUGACGUUGAGGCUCGAAAGCGUGGGGAGCAAACAGGAUUAGAUACCCCUGUAGUC
rnacentral:rRNA from 1 species